GUUCUGUUUUUGCAAGCAUAGCGCGCUGAAAUGCUGAAAAGUCCGUACCUCAAGUCCUGAAGGUUGGGAACUAACCCAACGGGUGACAGUGUGCUGCUCCAGGUACCCAGGUCGUCUCCCAGCAGCGCCUCGGAGCGUUACUUGGGCACAGUCCACAGAAAAAGAGAAGGGAGAAAGGCCGACACACCUCUGGCCACAGCACUAACAACUGUGGCGAAUCCGGAGCUUUCCGCAGGGCAGAGGAGAGAGAGCUGCGGCAGACAGCAGCUUUGGGGCUAGGACUUUGCCUUUUCCAGCGGCCGGCACAGACUCGGUUGCCCCUUGGAUUCUUCGCAAGAAAUCUGUGUUUUAAUCCUCGCCCCGAAUGAAGUCUCACCAAGAGCUUGCCGGCUCUAGAACGAGGGUUGUUUUGCAGGCAAGUUCCUGGGCUUCGCUCCAAAGCUGCCUCGGGAUGUUUUGGUUGGUUUAGAGGAAAGCUGCGGCCUCUCCUACCCAGUUCUUAACCAGACAGCCCCCUGGCGGCAGCGAGGAAAAGCCUGGCUGGGCCCAGGUUUCAUGUGGGGGGGGAGGGGGCAAGCCUUGCGAUCAGCUCUGUAAUAAGGGUAGCACCGGGGAAUUCAAGAGGCCCUGAGAAGCCUGGAGUCCCAGGACGUCUUACUUCUUUUCCUACACAUGUCUCUGAGCCAUGUUUUUGCUUAAAUUCUCUCUCAAGAAAGACACACACUAAAAGUGAAAUCUAACAGCCGCAAAAGGUUACUUUUUUUUGUUU